GAUGAACGCUGGCGGCGUGCCUAAUACAUGCAAGUCGAGCGAACAGACGAGGAGCUUGCUCCUCUGACGUUAGCGGCGGACGGGUGAGUCACACGUGGAUAACCUACCUAUAAGACUGGGAUAACUUCGGGAAACCGGAUCUAAUACCGGAUAAUAUAUUGAACCGCAUGGUGCAAUAGUGAAAGACGGUUUUGCUGUCACUUAUAGAUGGAUCCGCGCCGUAUUAGCUAGUUGGGAAGGUAACGGCUUACCAAGGCGACGAUGCGUAGCCGAACUGAGAGGGUGAUCGGCCACACUGGAACUGAGACACGGUCCAGACUCCUACGGGAGGCAGCAGUAGGGAAUCUUCCGCAAUGGGCGAAAGCCUGACGGAGCAAGGCCGCGUGAGUGAUGAAGGUCUUCGGAUCGUAAAACUCUGUUAUUAGGGAAGAACAACUGUGUAAGUAACUAUAGACGUCUUGACGGUACCUAAUCAGAAAGCAACGGCUAACUACGUG
rnacentral:rRNA from 1 species